rnacentral:rRNA from 1 species
UACAGAGGGGGCAAGCGUUGUUCGGAAUUACUGGGCGUAAAGGGCGCGUAGGCGGCUUUGCAAGUGACGGGUGAAAUCCCUCGGCUUAACCGAGGAACUGCCUGUCGGACUGCAUGGCUUGAGACCGGGAGAGGUGAGUGGAAUUCCCAGUGUAGCGGUGAAAUGCGUAGAUAUUGGGAGGAACACCAGUGGCGAAGGCGGCUCACUGGACCGGUACUGACGCUGAUGCGCGAAAGCGUGGGGAGCAAACAGG